rnacentral:rRNA from 1 species
CGCCAGACUCCUACGGGAGGCAGCAGUGAGGAAUAUUGGUCAAUGGCCGAGAGGCUGAACCAGCCAAGUCGCGUGAGGGAAGACGGCCCUACGGGUUGUAAACCUCUUUUGUCAGGGAGCAAAGGCGUCCACGUGUGGACGAGAGGAGAGUACCUGAAGAAAAAGCAUCGGCUAACUCCGUGCCAGCAGCCGCGGUAAUACGGAGGAUGCGAGCGUUAUCCGGAUUUAUUGGGUUUAAAGGGUGCGUAGGCUGUGAGGUAAGUCAGCGGUGAAAUGCCCCCGCUCAACGGGGUGAAGUGCCAUUGAUACUGCCUUGCUGGAAUGCGGAUGCCGUGGGAGGAAUGUGUGGUGUAGCGGUGAAAUGCAUAGAUAUCACACAGAACACCGAUUGCGAAGGCAUCUCACGAAUCCGCGAUUGACGCUGAUGCACGAAAGCGUGGGUAUCGAACAGGAUUAGAUACCCCAGUAA